AAAAAAAAGAGGCCUUUUCGACCCAAAUUCUUCAAAUCCCUGAAUUCUUGAAAUUUUGACUCCACGAUCUGUUCAUCGAUUUUAUGGGAUAAUUGACUCGAGUGAGGAAUUUUGGGGCCUUCGUGGCCCUCUCAAUAUGCAUGAGGAUGGAUUCGUGGUGAACCCAGGUGAGAUUUUACAUGCCAAACAUAAAUACAAUCACAUUAGCAUGGGAUGAGAAAGAAUGAUGAGAAAGACUGAUACAUUUCUAUAAAAUAAUUGAGAAACACUAUGGUGAUCGAUAACUAAACAUAGCAAGAUAUGAUGAUGUGUUUAAAGAUUAAUCUACCAACUUAGAUGACCAGGACAAUUACUCUAGCCACUACCAUGAUGAGAAAGGACGAAAAUUCCCUUGAUCCUCAUUCGAACAAAAUUAAGACUAACGGAUAAGUUAAACAUUGGGCAUACGUGACAUGAACAAAUCUCAUAUUUUAGACCUGCCAUGUGUUAUCAUGUUGACGUGCCAUUAAAUGAAUCAUUAAUCAUAUAUGCAAAUAUGAACAAACAAAGCCAUAGACUUUAAAAUUGGAAUGGAGGGUUCCUGAGAUUGAUGCCCUAAAGAAAUCAUGCUCCAAACAACCUUAAUGACCAAGUCUAGCGAAAGUCGAAUUAAAAAAAUAAAAUAAAAUA
rnacentral:misc_RNA from 1 species